UACAGAGGUCCCGAGCGUUGUUCGGAUUUACUGGGCGUAAAGGGUGCGUAGGCGGUCGGGUAAGUCUGACGUGAAAUCUUCAAGCUCAACUUGGAAACUGCGUCGGAUACUAUUCGGCUAGAGGAAUGGAGGGGAGACUGGAAUACUUGGUGUAGCAGUGAAAUGCGUAGAUAUCAAGUGGAACACCAGUGGCGAAGGCGAGUCUCUGGACAGUUCCUGACGCUGAGGCACGAAAGCCAGGGGAGCAAACGGG
rnacentral:rRNA from 1 species